UCGAGCGGCAGCGCGGGGCAACCUGGCGGCGAGCGGCGAACGGGUGAGUAAUGCAUCGGAACAUGUCCAAUCGUGGGGGAUAGCCCGGCGAAAGCCGGAUUAAUACCGCAUACGCCCUUCGGGGGAAAGUGGGGGACCGCAAGGCCUCACGCGACUGGGUUGGCCGAUGUCCGAUUAGCUAGUUGGUGGGGUAAAGGCUUACCAAGGCGAUGAUCGGUAGCUGGUCUGAGAGGAUGAUCAGCCACACUGGGACUGGGACACGGCCCAGACUCCUACGGGAGGCAGCAGUGGGGAAUUUUGGACAAUGGGGGCAACCCUGAUCCAGCCAUUCCGCGUGAGUGAAGAAGGCCUUCGGGUUGUAAAGCUCUUUUGUCCGGAACGAAACGGUUCGCGUGAAUAUCGCUGACUACUGACGGUACCGGAAGAAUAAGCACCGGCUAACUACGUGCCAGCAGCCGCGGUAAUACGUAGGGUGCGAGCGUUAAUCGGAAUUACUGGGCGUAAAGCGUGCGCAGGCGGUUUUGUAAGCCAGAUGUGAAAUCCCCGGGCUUAACCUGGGAAUGGCAUUUGGGACUGCAAGGCUGGAGUGCGGCAGAGGAGACUGGAAUUCCUGGUGUAGCAGUGAAAUGCGUAGAUAUCAGGAGGAAUACCGAUGGCGAAGGCAGGUCUCUGGGCUGACACUGACGCUCAUGCACGAAAGCGUGGGGAGCAAACAGGAUUAGAUACCCUGGUAGUCCACGCCCUAAACGAUGUCGACUGGUUGUUGGGAGUUUGACACUCUCAGUAACGAAGCUAACGCGUGAAGUCGAC
rnacentral:rRNA from 1 species